UACAGAGGUCUCAAGCGUUGUUCGGAUUCAUUGGGCGUAAAGGGCGCGUAGGCGGGAUGGCAAGUCGGUCGUGAAAUCCCUCGGCUCAACUGAGGAUCGUCGAUCGAUACUGCCGUUCUUGAGGAUUGCAGAGGAGACUGGAAUUCCCGGUGUAGCGGUGGAAUGCGUAGAGAUCGGGAAGAACAUCAGUGGCGAAGGCGGUCUGCUGGGCCGUUGCUGACGCUGAGGCGCGACAGCGUGGGGAGCAAACAGG
rnacentral:rRNA from 1 species